rnacentral:lncRNA from 1 species
UUUAAUGUUUUGUAGGAGGUUUGUGCUUGUCACUUCGUUCGUUUGAAAUAGAGCUUUUAAGGCAAAAUGAUUUAUUUGCUAAUUUGGACCGGGUGGCAAGAGAAGAUAAACCGUAGAAGAAUUCAAAAGAAGUGGCGAUCAAACGGAAACAGUUACAAUCCGAGUAAAAUACAAAAGAACAACUAAAACAAAUUCUCUAUCUAAUCUUAGAAGUGCGAAAGGAGACUGUAUUGUGUGAGGGUAUUGUGUGUGUAGAUCGUAUCGCUGCUGGGCGUUUUAGUUAUAGCAGUGAAUCUUAACUCUAGAAAUCACCUUGUGAACACAACAUUUACCUUUUCGUUUUCUUCAAAAAUAAAAUUCCUAAAGUAAGGAUAGUCUAAACAAUAUUUCGUGGAGAGCAAUAUAUCGGGGAAUCUUUGAUUUUUUUGCAGAUUGUGCUCGAACGAUGGCAGAAAAGAGCAGGUUAGUACUCGUGAUGAAACCACUACAGCUUUAAGAUAAAUAAAAGUAACUUUCAGACAAUAAACGUGAUCAGUAACUCAGUUAAUCUCAGCUGUAAGUAACAACGUGCAUCUAUUCAUAGAGGCCUCUCUAGAAUGGCAUGCUGACCAACUUCCACCAUAAAAACCCAAUAAGGGUAAACCACCAUAAAAACACUGGAAAAUGCACUAUAACGAAAAAAUUGACAAGACCAGAAUUAACAAGAAACACGCAUACAUUACUGGGUACAGAACGUGUUGACUUGAAGACUACAAUAAUAUCAGUGUUAGUACAAUUGUAAAUUAGAAGAUAACAGAUACUAUCAUUCCUCUUAGUAACGACUGAUUUUUAAAGCAGUCCGAUAGAACAGCGUGAAAUAUCGAAAGUCAGCCAUCCUUAAUGCAAUGUGUAACAGUUUAGGGUGUAAAACUCAAAACGUAAAUUCAGUUCUAUUAGAUACAUUAAUACUAACGCAAUGUCCGUACAUAAUUGCUCUCUUGUAUUUAUAUUGUUUUAAAUUUUAUUUAGGCCUUAUUAAUACCGUAAACACAGUGGACUUAGCCUCUGAGUCGUAGACCUUGACCUCAUAUUGCACUCAAAAAAAUAUACUAUCGACUAGAGCACAAUUGAUACUCAAUAAAAUUUUAUUUAUUAAGGUCCAGCUAUAUUUAUUAUUACAAUAUAUUUCGAAGUACUUUCAGUUUUUGUCAUAUUGCACACAAAUUCGAUUCAUUGCAAAAUAAGCUAGAUCAUUGAAUCUGAAUGCCAAAGGGGCUCAUUUGUAUAGCCACGAUAUAAACAAUUAAGGCACCGUUGUUUCGGUUUAGGAUCCACAGAUUCGGCAUUCGGCGGGAUCCAAGAGUUAGAUGUAAACGUUGUUUACCUGUAUACAUUUAUUCCGUACAUUUGUAUAUUUGUUCAAAUUGUAGUACUUUGUUUUAUCAAUGCAAAUUGUUAGUGUUGUCUGCGAAGUCUGUUGUUAUUAAUAAUCUGUUCUCACUGAAGAAAACCAGCUUAGGCUACGAUGAAUUUUUAAAUUCGUAUCAUUUCAUUUAUCUAUGUCAUAUGCACGUGGGUAAAUUACAGUUACAAAAUGCUCGGCAAUCCUGCUAAAUUAUGCUCAAUGAUGCAGGAGUCGAUUUCUCUAUCCGCCUCCAACAGUGUUAGCAUCAAAGAGGUAUGAUUUUAAGCUAACUUUAACCAAUACUAAACCCAUUUUUAUUCAGUACUGUUAUUUUAUACGUUUGUUAUUUUGUAACGCGUUACAUCCAAAAUGUUAAUUUUGGUUGAUGGAGCCCUCAUACUUAAGUUAUGCUUCCGUGAAAAGUCUUCUCUGUUGUUUUUGCCUUUUGAAUUCCAACAUGUGAUCAUGACCUCGCUGGUAUUCGACAUUAUAAUUCCCACCCUUGAAACGUUUGUACCAUUCGCAUACUGUGUUUUCGUUUAAAACUUUCAUGCCUAUUGUCUUCAUUGCUUUUUGAGGAAUUUCAACAGCAUUGUGAUCUUUGAUGAACAAGCACACCGAAUGUUAAUUUGGGAAAAAUUAUUUUUUUUCUGCAAUAAUUUCAACCGAUUCUUACUCACAGGUUGAAACUGGAGUACUUAUUUAUUCCAUUUAUAAUCAUGUUAGCUAACGGCGUAUAGUUCGAAAGUUAUCCAAUUUCGAAGUCUGCCGAGUUCGCGUGUAACAUAUAUUGCGUGUAUAUAUAUACACUGUUAUGUUAUGUUAAUCAAUAAAAUUUAUAUAAAGAGCUAUUAUUUGCUAAGGUAUUAAGUUGUUCUCGUAGAUAACGUUUGUAUUAAUUGGUUUAGGUGCGCAUGAUGAUAGAAAGCUUAAACGAAGGCGUAUGGUCGAAAAAGGAAAUUAUUGAUCUUUUUACAAAAAGUCCGCAGAAAAUUUUCGUGCUUCAUGGUGAUCACCUAUUUCUUAAAAAAAGGUAUGUAUUGUUGGAGUUUAAAAACCUAUGAUUCUCCUCGAUCAGCCAAACGUUGACUUCAACCUCGGAAAAGUGCUUAUUUAACUUACUUGAUGAUUCCCUUGACCAAUUAACUUUAUCUAAUACUUGAGGCAGUUGAAAUUGUAGAUGCGCAAUAAAGUUGUAAUAAACGACGUACGAGAAACGAUUUGUCGCAAUCAAAUCCUGUUUAUUGUCUUUAGUUGCGAAAAAGUGAGCAAAGCCGGAAAAGCGGAAGUGUCAGACUCGAACGCGUCUUGCGUUCUUGAACGUUUUCCUGUUGUCACGGAAACAGCAGAAAAAGAAGUUAGCGAAGGCGUUGAGAGUUGUGACCUUUGCGAAAAUGUCGCCGCCAAGGCUGAUGAACUGUACCGCAGGAUUGGCGUCUUGGAACGACAUAUUGCACAAAAACUAGAACUUUUAAAACUAAAGCAGCGUAGUGUACGACACUUGCGGAGAACCAUAAAAUCUAGUCGAGCAGCAGUUGAUCCUUAUACAUACGAUGAUGUGAGACCGUUGUCGACAACAGAUUGCUCCACCGCAAGACGCCCUGGCACGUCUCAUUCUCCUAUUUCUGGAAAAUAGUCUUUGCUCGGCGUCGAAAGCUAAAAAUAGAAUGGCGAAAAACGGGAAGGUUGGUUGGCGAAACCGCAAUCAGUCGAGAACUGGAAUACACUGUCUUCGAUGCGAUGUCCGCACCUGAAUUACUGGCUAGUUUUUUUAAUUUGUAAUUUUUAUGAAUGUGUAAAAUAUAAAUUCAGUUUAGUGCAUAGUGAAUAUCUAUGAAAUAAUGUAGAAGUAAAUAAAAACGUUUAUGUCUUUGAAUCGUUCUCCUUAAAAUUGUCGCUUGUUUUUCACAUAUGUAAACAUAUGUAAUAUGGCAUUAUUUAGAAAUAGGAAGCUUGUCUACCAAUUCUAUAAUUAGUCUAGUGAACGGCGUGUAUUUGAGGUCGUCGAGAUAUGACGUUGAUGGACACGAUAUAAGAACGAUAAAAUUAGCAAAUACUUAAUUGUUUACUUACUUAUUUACUAUAAAUACUUAAUUUGUUAACGUUUCAAGAAAUUUGAGCGUACGAGACGGCUCGCAUGUGCCCUUUGAACUUAAAGAGACCCUGUUCUUCCGAGAAUUAUUGGAUACGCUAUCCCAUCAAGCAUAUUAUAACAAAGCAGAGUCGAAGGAAGAGACAAUCUGAGUGGGAAAAAUGAAUGAGAACUUAAUGCGUCAAGAGAAGCACAAGUUUACUGGGCAGCUUGUUGCGCAAUUGGAGGAGCCGAUUGGCUUGAAAAAUCUCAUUGCUGGAGGUGGUGUGCGACGACUUCUGCAAGUGGUGGCAGUUGCUUCAUGGUUUGGGGAAAUCCUGGGAAAGCACACUCCAUCUACGUACGACUACGCUGGCAUUACCUCAAAUCUACACUGAGCAUGCAAGCUUCGGGCUUGUAUUUGAGUCGAUCGCUGCUUGCGGUGGCAUUAACAUCGUCACAUUGGGUCCAAAAACGGUACGUGACGGAAGGACGUCUACCGGCGGUUCUACAAGCAACACUCGAGCUACUUAGUUUAGGCUGUUUCUACAGGUCGUAAUUACUCGUAUGUAAAUAAAUUUUCUGUCUAUAUGGUCUAGGCCAGAAUAAUACAGUUUGUUAAUUCGGGGCUUGAAAAUAUUACUACUGCUACUUUUCCUCUGGCUUGCCUAAGAAAUCUAACCGUUAUCAUUGCAUCUUACGCAUUUUGCUUACUUCAUUAUGUAGGACUUCCUGCAUUGAUCCGCCUAAAGCAGUCGGCACUGGUAAUGGUCGGUAAUCACCGAAAUCGCAACUUUUGUCUACAAGAGCUAUCACACCUCUCCUAAAAAGCUUUAUUAAGAUGGAGUUUGUACAGGAUCUGGAAUAGGUGUUAGGAUUUCAUUUUAUUGUACAGUUUAGUAUUCCAUCAUCAGUACUCAUAUCACUGACUUCGCAAAUAAGCUUGAGUAAACUAGAUAUACCAAUCUUAAUACUUAAAAGGCUAUCUAUUCCCGAGCAAUUCGUAAGGAUUUUAGUAUCGUCGAUGUCCGGACUGGCAGCAGUUUUUUUGCAACAUUGACGAAAUUACCACUUGGGCUUGAUUAUUAGAUCAAUGUUCCUAACUUCGAAGCCAUUAAUGAUAACUCAUGACGUAACGGUUUAUUCUGUUCUUUAACUUAAUAAGCUUAAUUGUGUUUUGCGCCUUGAGGUCUUGUACUUGCCAGCAUGUUGUGAGCUUAUUUCACAUGAUGCACACAAGAUGAUUUUUCUUUUAACCUAAAUUGCGCAACAAAUGACCAGUGAUCUUUUUCCUGAUAUCUAUGCUUUAACCAGACUAUCGUGGCUCGGUCCUCUCUAGGUACAUUAGUUUUCUUGUAAUAUUUUACUCUUUGUAUCAGGCAGUGUUCCAGCGAAUUAAAUUGUUUAAUUGAGUGUCACGUUUAUGCUAUGUCGCCGAAGCCUUAAGGGUUCCCUGACAAAGCCAGCCGCAGAUAUGGGAGUGGCUUACUGGGUAAGCUGAAUAUAGAUGAAGCAGCUUAGCGUCAUCCGACAAAAUAUAGAUCUAGUAUAGUUUGUUUUUUAUUGAGUCUUACGUAAAACUUUUUUCGUUUUAGUUGUCGCCUAACCUUCACAAGGCAACUCGAUUAGAAGAAUAAGGAAUCUGCUCGUACAUUAGUUAAUUAUCUAACUCAUCAAAUUCUCUAUAGUAGCCCUAAAUGCUCAGUCAUUGUUUCGGUGUAUCCCCUGCAAACGCUAUCAUAAAUUUGCCGCAGGAAGGUUCAACGACGGUGGAUAGCUUGCUGGGUAAUGUAUUUGCCGCUAUUCCUAGGGAGACGUUGUGGUUUAGGUUCGAACCUGGGCAUCGACAGACAAAUUUCGUUUCGUGCUGGGAGUCAGCCGUCUGAUGGAAGGCGAUGGCCUUGCACACCUGCGUCGUCACAGCUGCACUAGGCACACACGAAGUUGACUAGAUAAUGAGCAGCAGUUGCGCUGGAUUAAGGAAGACCUACAGCGGUGAUCAACUGGAAGCUCAUGAGUGCAAUUAAUCCUUUAGCUAUUUUACGCUAAAUGUUUGCAGUACACGUCAAGUAAGCAUUGCUAACGGGGUAAAGUGUUAUAAAUAGUAAUAUCACAUAAUCUAGAGUGAUAAUGAGAAAAAAGUGAUUUCUGUGAAAAUACAAAGUCACGCUCAUGGAAGGCCAAAUUGAUUUUCUACGAG